rnacentral:rRNA from 1 species
UAAGUUAGCGGCGGACGGGUGAGUAACACGUGGCCAACCUGCCCUAUAGUUGGGGAUAACUCCGGGAAACCGGGGCUAAUACCGAAUGAUACAAUUUAACUCCUGUUAGAUUGUUGAAAGAUGGUUCUGCUAUCGCUAUAGGAUGGGCCCGCGGCGCAUUAGCUAGUUGGUAGGGUAACGGCCUACCAAGGCGACGAUGCGUAGCCGACCUGAGAGGGUGAUCGGCCACACUGGGACUGAGACACGGCCCAGACUCCUACGGGAGGCAGCAGUAGGGAAUCUUCCACAAUGGGCGAAAGCCUGAUGGAGCAACGCCGCGUGAGUGAAGAAGGUUUUCGGAUCGUAAAACUCUGUUGUAAGGGAAGAACAAGUACAGUAGUAACUGGCUGUACCUUGACGGUACCUUAUUAGAAAGCCACGGC